GUUAAAGUAGUUUCUUAUCAAGAUUCCAUUUAAAAUAAAGAUUUGAAGUGUGAAAUACUACCAUAGAAUUUUUUUAUAGGAGAUUCCUAUACUAGUGAAAUGUCUUAAAUGCAUAUUAAUGUAAACAACAGUUAGAAAUUAAACUAAAUACUCUGACAAAGUCCUACUCUCUGGAAAGACAACAAUUUUACCACAACUUUGGUGCGGCCAAGAAUUCAUGCUGUCAGUGAGUUUUCAUCCUUCUGUGAUACAAGCCCCAAACACUUCUAGUAUACAAAACAGAUAAGAAUUACAUUUCAGCAUGAAAAAAAAAUGGAAGUUGCAUAAUAUUUAUUCAGUGUACUGUAGCCUUUAAUUAAAUGAAGAAUAAAAAUGAAGAUGCUUGCUUACAGAGUCUGCUGACUUCAGCUUGUUUGAAAUGGGCAGUACAAAUUGCAACAAAACUGGUUUUGAUAGGCUGAAGAGAUAAUAAAUGUAAGGCCCAUUCAGUGCACUUUCUAUGACUGCAUAGCAUUGCUCAGCAACUUUCUUGCUAGCCUCAUGCUAGCCAGUUACUUAGUUGAGUAAUCACUUCCUAUGUUUUUUCCUUCUCAAAAGCUCCAUUCAAAGAAAUUAUAUGUCUUCUCUUCCAGCUACUUCUUUGGUCUCUCUUCUUAUUGCCUGCAAGUUAUUGAGUUCUUAUUUUAGUUCCCCUGCCCUUCUAAUGCCACUCUUUGCUUAUCAGUUAUGAGAGCUGGGAUCCUUUACUCAUGAGAAUGUCAUCCUUACUGAUUUUGAAACUACAGGAGAAAACAUGCAUAUUUGUAGUCAAAAGCAUAUAUCUGUUCUACACUAUAUACCCUCUUUCACACAAAGUCUAAUUACUUCUGCUCAGCAGAUUAAUGUCCUUUUGCCUCUGCUACCAGAACAUCUUGCAAAAGGAGACUAAAGGAAUGGAUGAAGAUAGAAUGAGCACUAGAUUCCCACAAACAUUGUCCACGGAGAUUCUGAAGUCCUAAACUGGAAGAGAGGAGGAUAUCUUGUGUGGGGCUCCAACCAGUAUCUCAAAGACUGAAGUAACAGAGGCACUAUGGAUUUUGCCUACAUUUCAAACAAGAAAUAUAUGUGAUGAUUCAGAUAGAACUGAUGGCAAAUGUAGAGCUAAACAUUUCUCUGAUAUUGGCAAAGAAGUAUCCUGCACUGAUGCCAUGGACAAUGGAAAUUUUUUUCAAACUAACUGCAUGAUUAAACUGUACUUGUUUUCAUUUGAUUGUAGUGACCUUAAUACGCUUAAUACGCUGAAGUAUUUCUUUGCAAGUUGUUAAACUCCUGUUCUGUACUUUAUAUGCAGUUAUGUUCACCUGUUAGAAAGAUACCCAAUAUUUAUGAUUCUGUAGACAUCAGCAGUAGAGCUAGCAGAGAAGUCUCUUACUCAGAGCUGAAUUAAUAAACUGGCGUAGCAUCGGGGCCAUUGUGCUAGUGGAAGUUAUAUAUUUCAGAUAAGACACGUUGUUUUGCAUAACUGAACUAGUGAAUAGUAUUCAUGUUACCAGGACAUUGGAAUAAUUCAGUGAUGAGAAAGAAUAUUCCAUGGUCUCUAAUCCUACAUUAGAGGAAUCAGAUCU
ensembl:lncRNA